CUUUAGUUCUGACACAAAUUCACUCAGACAGCAGUUUGUAUCAGAGAGUCAUUUGACUGUGACAAUCCAAAGGUGCACAUUGCAACGAGAGAAAAGACACUGGUCAGCAGAAUACAAAGUUGGAAAACAUGGAAUUCCACUCCAGAGAGAUUGAACCACAAAUUAAUUUCUAUCUCAGUUCACUUGAAGAACAAGUACGGUGUGAACUGAAGGACAGCGAGGCGAGGCUCACCCAAUGUGAAUCUGAGGGAAGAGUCCACCUGAUAAUCCGAGAGGACUUGCUGGCCAAUGUCCUCGAUCAGCUCCAACAACAGAGAGAGGGCAGCACUUUGAACCAUGACAAAAAGCUGAUGCAGAGGGAGAUGUGUGACUUCAAAGUUCAGCUGGCUGAACGUGUCCCCUCCCCACCCGGGGAAACAGAGUAUCUGAAAUCCCAGCUGGGAAAAAUCAGCAACAGGAUGCGAAAAGCCCAAAAAGAACUCGACCUGCAGUACUUCAUUACUGAAGACCUGAAGGUUGAAUUGGAACAGAUGAAGGGAGAGAAGGAGGCCCUUAAAAAUAAUGUGGAAACUCAGAAGAUCGAGCUUCUUAAAGAGAGACAGAUGCUCGCGGUAAGUAAGACCACCAACGUGAUGUUGGAGAGCUGUCUGGAGAUUGAGAGGGCUCAAGCUCAGGAGCUGAAGGAUAAAUUGAGCACGAUGGAGGAAGCUCUCCGAAAACAGGCAGAGGAGGCAAAGGAGAUACUGGAAAGAUCCCAGGCUUCCCAUAGAGCCCAGCUGGAUGAGGCUCUGGCUGAACGUGUCCACUCCCCACACAGGGAAACAGAGUAUCUGAAAACCCAGCUGGGAAAAAUCAGCAACAGACUGCGAAAAGCCCAAAAAGAUCUUGACCUGCAGUACUUCAUUACUGAAGACCUGAAAGUCAAAUUGGAGCAGAUGAAGGGAGAGAAGGAGGCCCUUAAAGACAAUGUGGAGACUCAGAAGAUGGAGCUUUGUAAGGAAAGACAGAUGCUCGCGGUAGCUAAGACCAACGUGGAGUUAGAGUUGGAGAGCUAUCUGGAGAUUGAGAGGGCUCAAGCUCAGGAGCUAAAGGAUAAAUUGAGCAAGAUGGAGGAAGCUCUCCAAAAACAGGACGAGGAGGCAAAGGAGAUACUGGAAAGAUCCCAGGCUUCCCAUAGAGCCCAGCUGGAUGAGGCUCUGGCUGAAUGUGUCCACUCCCCACCCAGGGAAACAGAGUAUCUGAAAUCCCAGCUGGGAAAAAUCAGCAACAGACUGCGAAAAGCCCAAAAAGAUCUCGACCUGCAGUACUUCAUUACUGAAGACCUGAAAGUCGAAUUGGAGCAGAUGAAGGGAGAGAAGGAGGCCCUUAAAGACAAUGUGGAGACUCAGAAGAUGGAGCUUCUUAAAGAGAGACAGAUGCUCGCGGUAGGUAAGACCACCAACGUGACGUUGGAGAGCUAUCUGGAGACUGAGAGGGCUCAAGCUCAGGAGCUGAAGGAUAAAUUGAGCAAGAUGGAGGAAGCUCUCCUAAAACAGGACGAGGAGGCAAAGGAGAUACUGGAAAGAUCCCAGGCUUCCCAUAGAGCCCAGCUGGAGAUGCAGGACAAAAGCAGUAAGAAC
rnacentral:lncRNA from 1 species